rnacentral:rRNA from 1 species
GAUGAACGCUGGCGGCGUGCCUAAUACAUGCAAGUCGAGCGAACAGACGAGGAGCUUGCUCCUCUGACGUUAGCGGCGGACGGGUGAGUAACACGAGGAUAACCUACCUAUAAGACGGGGAUAACUUCGGGAAACCGGAGCAAACACCGGAUAAUAUAUUGAACCGCAUGGUGCAAUAGAGAAAGACGGUUUUGCUGUCACUUAUAGAUGGAUCCGCGCUGGAUUAGCUAGUUGGUAAGGUAACGGCUUACCAAGGCAACGAUGCGUAGCCGACCUGAGGGGGUGAUCGGCCACACUGGAACUGAGACACGGUCCAGACUCCUACGGGAGGCAGCAGUAGGGAAUCUUCCGCAAUGGGCGAAAGCUUGACGGAGCAACGCCGCGUGAGUGAUGAAGGUCUUCGGAUCGUAAAACUCUGUUAUUAGGGAAGAACAAAUGUGUAAGUAACUAUGCACGUCUUGACGGUACCUAAUCAGAAAGCCACGGCUAACUACGUG